UAGGUUACAACAGUGAAAAUGUUUUUCUCAUUUUCGUUUUGUUUGGAAACCGUCUAAUCCACACAUCUUUCCUGACAGGCAUCAUUGAACGGGAGAUGAGGAAAUUGUUCAGUGUUCCAGACGAGAAGGAAACAAGGUUGUGGUGCAAAUACAUGAGCAAUACAUUUGAGCAAUUGUAUAAACUGGACAGCACCAUUCAAGACGCUGGACUCUUCGAGGGACAGGUGGUAGUUAUUGAACAGAAGAAUGGAGACGACAUGUGGCCUCGUGACUCUUCAACACUUAA